CCUUCCCCAGAGCCGGCUGGAGUGGGCAGCAUGGAGGCCCCUGGAAACGCUGCCACAGGCGCUGUGCCCUGUGAGUUUUUGCAAAGCGCCCCACCGCCUCGGAGCUGCUCAUCCCGCCUGUCCACUGCAAAGUACCCAGGUUAUCAGAGUGAGGAGAGGCCUGGGCGAGCCAGGGCUCAACGCUGGCUUUAGAAACAUGGAACUGUAGCCCAGAGAGUGAAACUGGCAAACACAGCUAAUUUCUACCAGAUCAACCUGA
rnacentral:lncRNA from 1 species